rnacentral:sRNA from 1 species
CGCAAGGCCGGACUGAGGAGGGUUCGAACCGAGAGGUUCGACGAGCGCGCAGCGCGAGAACGGUGGAGCGAAGCGACACCGGCCCGAAGGGCGAGACGCGAAGCGUCGAGUAAUCCUCCUCCCUCCACCA